GUUCACCUUUACCUUGGAUCCACCUGCAGGAGCUGCUCUGUUGGAGCCGUGGAGAGACUGCAGCGCAGGCUUCUCAGUCUGAUUCAGCGCCAGCAAACAUGGAAAAGAAGACUUUCAGUGGACAUGGAAAGCUGUAGAGCUGACAACAAGACUCAGACUCCACCACCUGAAAGUGUACAGAAUGGACCUCACCCUGAAGGUAGGGACAAGCUUCUCAUCGCUCUUACUGUCUCAUCAUCGUGUUGACUGGCUGGCGUGCCUGAGGACAUGAGACAGCCAGAUAUAGGCACUGGCAGGUUGACUUCUCAGUGGUGACGUGAGUGUAUCCUAGAGGGUCAUGACCCACCCAGACUGUGACCUGAACAAACAGGUCUGAAGAGCUGUGAAAGAAAAUGGAAUGUCCCUGUUGCUUUUGUUUUGUUUCACUUUUUUGUUGAAAAGACACUUGCAGGAGCGAAAGAAAACAUUUUCUUGGCAAGGAAUGAGGCAGUUUACUUAAGGAACAUUAUGUGAGUGUAACAAAAAAUUAGAAAAGCUCAGACAGUCCGUUGUGUGUAACUAAGGACUCAUUACUCUUUCUUUUCUCUUUGUGAUUUUCAUCUUCUAAGCCACUGAAAUUGUGAUUUAUUUUAAGAACGGCACUUUUUCUUUGUGAACAUAUUUUUGGUGUUAGCGCAGCCACUUGUCUGCAUUAUCUGUACGUCCCACAUUAUAUAUGUUAUCGUUGUGCGUCUGUUGCCAUGUGGAACCAAUUGUUUUUUAAUAAAAAAAA